AUACCCUAAAAACCUAUUUUUCCAUUUCAAUAUUUCUUUUAUCUUUCCUACUAAAACAAAUAAACAAUAUCAACAUCCGAGUCUCUAUUGAAGAAAAUGAUGAAGGAUUCCGUGAUCGUUUUGAUGCAAUCUAAUAUCUUAGCUUUGUGUUCAUCGCUUAAGGUA